rnacentral:rRNA from 1 species
UGGGGAAUAUUGGACAAUGGGCGCAAGCCUGAUCCAGCAAUGCCGCGUGAGUGAAGAAGGCCUUAGGGUUGUAAAGCUCUUUCGGCGGGGAAGAUGAUGACGGUACCCGCAGAAGAAGCCCCGGCUAACUCCGUGCCAGCAGCCGCGGUAAUACGGAGGGGGCUAGCGUUGUUCGGAAUUACUGGGCGUAAAGGGCGCGUAGGCGGUGCGGUAAGUUAGGCGUGAAAGGCCCGGGCUCAACCCGGGAACUGCGCUUAAAACUGCCGCGCUCUGAGUCCGAGAGAGGAUAGCGGAAUUCCCAGUGUAGAGGUGAAAUUCGUAGAUAUUGGGAAGAACACCAGUGGCGAAGGCGGCUAUCUGGCUCGGUACUGACGCUGAGGCGCGAAAGCGUGGGGAGCAAACAGGAUUAGAGACCCGAGUAG